AUGUCUAGACAUCAAGGUUGGGCAGAUCUACCAGAUGUCCUGCUUCAUUCCAUUAUUGCUCUGGCAGGCUCCUCCAACCUCCUUACCUUUGCUUGCACCUGCCGCUCUUGGCGUGAGGCCUUCUUAUCAUUUCCAUCAAAGUCUGCCUCCUCGACGAUAUUCCCGCCUGUGCUCCUGCAACCUGAUGUCCCCGGGCGCUCUCCAUGUUACCACCCCUUUGGUGAUAAACGUCCAUGUCAGGUCAUUGUUCCAGCCAGCCAACACUCGCGCCUUUGUUAUCAGAUUCCCCUAAGUAGCUUUUGCUUCCUGGGUGCUUCUUAUGGCCAUCUCAUCUUCUCCAGCAACAGAUCAUGUCUCAUUGUUGAUGCGUUUAGAGGUGUUAGUUUUUCACCACCGCAGAUUCCGGGUGACGAAUCCACCGAGGUCUAUUACGGUGCCCUCACGGCUCCUAUAGCAUCACCCAACCCACAUCUCCUUGUCGCCAACGGAUCUCACAGCUACUUUUGGCGUGUUGGUAGUCACUCUUGGUCGAGAGCUUGUCCUUGCGAUGGAACGGUCAAGAAGAUCAUCACCUUCCAAGGCCAGGUCUUUGGCAUGGACUCUAAUGGCAUGCUCUUUGUUGUGCACUUGAUGCCUUGGAUUCGCGUACGGAUGAUUGGAGUCAGUUGGGGGGAAAUCUCUAUACGUCAUCUUGCCAACCUAUACCUGGUUGCGUGUGGCGAUAUGCUUCUCUUGGUUGGGUGUCGGGGGUCGUUUCCGGCAAGAGGGGAUUCCUUCGAAGUCUUCCGCCUCGACCAGUCGACCGAACAAGCAAAGUGGGUGAAGGUGGAGGAGUUGGAGAAUUGGGCAAUCAUCACCAGCACUGACAAGAGAAGCCAGCCAUUAUCCUUCAUGAACCCGGAAAGGUGGGGAGGGAGGAGCAACUGCGUGUACUACUAUUCCCAUGAUUCAGAACAUUGGGCUGCAUUUGAGUUGGGAAAGCCUGCCUCCAGCCGAAACAACUUUGUUUUCAUAAGCUCUGGAAAUGCAGUGCAACCUGUGUGGGUUGUCCCUAGCAUGUUUUCCGAGUCUCUGUGA
rnacentral:rRNA from 1 species